AGACACCAAGUGACCUGACUGAACCCUCUGGAGACCAUGAAUGGAGUGAGAUAUCCACUUCAUUCUUACAACAGACACCGAGUGACCUGACUGAACCCUCUGGAGACCAUGAAUGGAAUGAUAGAUACACUUCAUCCUUACAACAGACAUCAAGUGACAGGUACCUGACUGAACCCUCUGGAAACCAAGAAUGGAGUGAGAGAUCCACUUCAUCCUUACAACAGACACCAAGUGACCUGACUGAACCCUCUGGAGACCAUGAAUGGAGUGAGAGAUCCACUUCAUUCUUACAACAGACACCAAGUGACCUGACUGAACCCUCUGGAGACCAUGAAUGGAAUGAGAGAUAAAUUCUCAAAAUUCUCAAAUUUUCAAAAUUCUCAUUAUUUCCUGGAAUAUCUUAUUUUGAUUAUUUUAUUUUUCCAUUUUUAAUAAAUAAUGCCUUCUUUUACAGGUGGGAAUAAGAGACGCACGUGGACAGAUUAUGAAGUGAAGGCUGUUGAGCGACAUAUGUUUGAUUUCAUAACAAGCCAGAAAGUUUCUGGUAAAACGAGCUGUGAGUCCUGUCUCCACGCAGAGCCAGCAGCUCUGAACGACAGAGGCUGGGUGUCCAUCAAAAACUACAUCCACAACAGGAUAUAACUGCAUUAAAAAGGGAAAUGAAUGGCUAGUCCAUUGAAAUGCGAGCACGUCUGGGUACAUUUCAGUUCAAGUUAACUAAAGCAAUAGCAAUGGUGCAUUUAGGGUGGGAUGGUCAAUUAUGGAUUUCAUAUUUGUUGUUGGAUACUGUGUUUCACGUUUGUUGUUUCAUGAUCUUCAAGAGCAAUUUGGAAAAUCCUUGAAGAUGUAUGAACAUGUAAAUUAUACUGUAUAUCAGGCAUGUUCCGAUCUGGGCCUGGAGAGCCACUGUCGUGCCUGUUUUCCAGCUCUCCCGGCUGCAUCACACCUGUUUCAGAUGAUCAGUUCAUCAGUCAGCUCUGAUGCAGCAUUAGAACAUCCUGGGAGAGCUGGAAA